rnacentral:rRNA from 1 species
CUUGUCCUACGGGGGGCAGCAGUGGGGAAUAUUGCACAAUGGGGGGAACCCUGAUGCAGCGACGCCGCGUGGGUGAAGGAGUAUUUCGGUAUGUAAAGCCCUAUCAGCAGGGAAGAACAAUGACGGUACCUGACUAAGAAGCAUCGGCUAACUCCGUGCCAGCAGCCGCGGUAAUACGGAGGAUGCGAGCGUUAUCCGGAUUUAUUGGGUUUAAAGGGUGCGUAGGCGGGCUGUUAAGUCAGCGGUCAAAUGUCGGGGCUCAACCCCGGCCUGCCGUUGAAACUGGCGGCCUCGAGUGGGCGAGA